rnacentral:tRNA from 1 species
GCGCCCGUGGCUUAAUGGAUAAAGCAAGUGAAUUCUAAUCACUAGACUGGGGGUUCGAAUCCCUCCGGGCGUACCA